GGGGCUGUAGCUCAGUGGUUGAGCACUCGCCUCGCAAGCGUGAGGCACUGGGUUCCAACCUCAGCACCACA
rnacentral:tRNA from 1 species